CUGUGUAACAAACUGCCAUGCUGAGCCUUUAAGGGGCGGGGCUUAGAGCAGCUGCAGCAUGCAGACGAAGAAAGAGAAAAAAAAGAGUAGAGUGAAAGAGAGUAUAGUUUAUGUUCGCAUUUUGUUUAUUUUAACUUGCUGUUUGCCGUUUAUUGUUACUCCUUGAUGUGUGUGCGUGGAAAUACAAGUAAGUGAUGUUACAUAUUAAUAAUAUUGUUUAUUUAGCAGAGUAUUUUAGUUUUACCCUUAAUUAAUAGCAUGCUCUGUUCACGUGCACACUUGAGAGUUAUACACGGUGGAUUUUGUUUGUGUCGUGUAUUUAUGUAGAAAUGUGCAGUUAUGCAGUAUGUGUGAUGCUACUUCAGUCAGUUUAUUCAGACAUUGACGCUGUAUUGUUGUUUAAUUUCAGGAACCACACACAAUUACCUAAAUAAACCGCAAGUACGAGUUGAAUCACCUGGAGUACGACUCUGCGUUCUUUGGAGUUCUGACCGACUCACCACAGUGUUCUGCAUAGUCACACCAGCAAAAACAACCCCUAAUUUUCAAUGGUCCUUCGAGCCGGAUAGCAGACUACUGUUUAAAAGAUGCAGAAUUCAGAGUCAAAGGCAUUGGACACUCGACCCAAACGACGAAUGUCAGUUCCUUCAUACCUGUCAGAUUAUGACCUAAGUGGACCUGGAGCUCAUAGUAGAUCCCGGACAGCAGCUGCAGGGGAACCAUCAGAUGAGCAAAGCGGACUAGAGCGUCCAACUGCCAGAUCUCCAUCACCACCCAUUAGCCAGAGCUUCGACAUGAUGGAUUUGAGGGAUGAUAUGGAGCAAGAACGAGAGCUUUGUCAAUCUAUGGAGCAAGUCACCGGGGAGCAGCAGACCAGCCAAGUUCCAGAGUUUAGUGCUGCUCUCGAAGAGAUGCGCCAAGAAAACGCUGAGCUUCGUAAACAGUUUCAGAGCCUGAUGGUUGCUUUACAGUCCCAGCCAGCCGCCCAUCAGUCUCUGUUCCCACCUCCUCCACCUCAAAGUGUGUACAGCGGUGGUUAUGGACCUUACCAACCCCCUACCAAUUCUCCAGCAUACCAGCAGCUACAAUAUCCAACAUUCAGCUCCCGAAGAAACCUGCCAUUAGAUUUCACUAAUCCUAGAGUUUCCCAAACAUCUGGUGGUCUGCCUCAUAGCCUAUAUUACGCAGACACACCACAGCAGAGCGCACCUUCCUAUUCACAUAGAGAUUCUUCAUUUGUCCAAGUUCCCAGCUUUAAUGAGCCACAGAGAGAGACCACAUACAGGGGGCCAAAGCCCACUAUCCCCAGAUUUACAUCACCAGAUCCCAGAGAGUUUGCACGCAUGAAGAUUGCCUUAGAGAAUCUAUUACCAGGCGAUGCUACUGAAAGAUACAAAUACCAGAUCCUCACUGAUCAUCUCCAGUGUGAAGAAGCUUCACUUGUAGCAGACUCCUACUGCAACUCAAGGCAACCUUACACUGAUACAAUGUUGGCUCUCACGAAGAUGUAUGGACAGCCCCACAAGCUUGCAGUGCAACGGAUUGCAGAGUUAAUGGAUGGUCCAAAUAUACGCUGUGGUGAUGUGAAGAGCUUUCGUCUGUUUGCCCUCAACGUGCGGUCACUAGUAGGCAUGUUGGAACAACUGGGGCAGAGAGGUCAAAUCGAGUUAGUCUGUGGCUCUCAUGUUUCAAGACUCUUAAGUAAACUUCCCUAUGACCUCAAUGCCAGCUUUAAGAGAUUUAUCCAUCCCCUGAGAGUAGCCAUUCCUACCCUCAUUGACUUUGCUGAUUGGCUAGAAUAUGAGCUGGAAGUUCAGGAAGACAGCAUGAAGCCCCCGAGGAGAGAGGAGUCGUUUAACAAGAAGCCUGAUACCAAGCGCACUUCCAAACUCUCAAGUAAGACUGCUACUAUCCUCCUGGGUACUGAGAAGGUAUCUGGAUCAAAUAGUGUAGCAGCACCACCUACACCUGGAUAUGUUGUCAACAAGUCAAAGGGAAUAGAGAAGUUUACGGCUUACUGUCCCUAUUGUGACAACGACAAGCACUUCCUGAACAACUGUUCUAACUUUAAGACCUUGAGCAAAGAACAGAAGGUGACAUGGAUUAAAACGAAUAAUAAGUGUUGGCGUUGUGGACGUAAUCACCAAGCGGCAAAGUGUACACUUAAAGCUCCCUGCAAAACCUGUGGUAGGAGACAUCUGCUAGUGCUGCAUGAGGUGAAUGAGAGAGCAGAGGAGGAACCAACAUCAGUUUCACCUUCAGCAGAAAGUUGCCUUGUUAACUCUGCCAAUAAAGUCAUGUAUGUUGACCGACCAGUUUACAACUGCAAGGUGCUACUGAAGAUCAGUAAGGUAGUCCUGAGAAAUGGUGACAAGUCCCUUGAGACGUAUGCCGUCUUAGACGAUGGCUCUGAGCGGACAAUCCUGCUUCAGCCUGCUGCCAAACAGUUGGGCCUUAAAGGAAGCAAAGAGGUGUUAGCUCUUCGUACAGUCAGACAAGAAGUGGAGAAGCUCCACGGGGCGGCUGUGUCUUUCACAAUUUCCCCAGCAGCCAACCCUGACAAAGUGUACAGCAUCCAGAAUGCCUUUACAGCCGAGCAACUGAGUUUAGCAGAGCAUUCCCAUCCAGUUGUCUCACUCCAGGAGAAGUACAAACAUUUGUCAGGUUUGCCUCUUCCUCCUUUAAACAGAGUCCGCCCCAUGUUGCUGAUUGGCGCCGAUUACACGCACCUCAUAACACCUGUGGAGCCAGUCAGACUGGGAUCACCUGGUGGGCCAGCAGCAGUGAAGACUCUCCUCGGUUGGACACUACAGGGACCAGCACAAGCCAUGGAAUCCAUCACGAAUGUGAGUCACUGUCUCUUCACGUCUACAUCAUCACCCACAGAGCUGUUCUCCUGUGUAGAGAAGUUAUGGCAGAUGGAUGUGCUCCCUUACCGCAGUGAGAAGUUAGCAGUUAGGUCACGACAAGAUCACGAAGCAGUCGGGCUCCUGCAAAAACAGACUGUGAGAGUCAAUGUCAGUGGUGUUGAGCGUUAUGCCACACCCCUUCUUCGAAUCAAGAACAUGCCUCUACUGAACUCCACACCAGAAGCAGUGUUGCCUCUCCUGAGAAGCACAGAGAAGCGCCUAGCCAAGUCGCCAGAACAAGCUGCUGCUUAUCAGAUGGAGAUUGAGAAGCUUGUAGAAUCUGGAUAUGUAGUGAAGUUGGUGGACCAUCAGUCUGACACCAUUGGUGAAGCUUGGUAUAUACCCCAUCACAUGGUUCAACAUAAUGGGAAGAACCGGGUGGUGUACAACUGUUCAUUCCAACAUCAAGGUUACAACCUAAAUCAACUCCUCUUACCAGGUCCCACUCUCGGCCCUGCCUUGCUAGCGGUGCUCCUACGUUUCAGGGAACAUGCUGUGGCCUUCAGCAGCGAUAUUCGUGGCAUGUUCCACCAAGUGAGGCUCCUACCGGCAGAUCGACCCCUGCUUCGGUUUCUGUGGCGGGACAUGAACCGAGACAAGCCCCCUGAUGUCUACGAGUGGCAAGUACUUCCAUUUGGAACUACUUGCAGCCCUUGUUGCGCAACGUUCGCGUUGCAGAAACACGUCAUAGACCACAGCCAACCAGAAGAAGAUGUUCGUGUUGCCAUUAACAAGUCCUUCUACGUGGACAACUGCUUACAGAGUCUCACAUGUCCAAUAGCCGCCAAGACACUCAUUAACAAACUGCGCCACCUUCUGGCCGAUGGGGGAUUCGAGUUGAGGCAGUGGGCCAGUAAUAAUCCAGAUGUUAUCUGCCAUCUUCCUCCAGACCUCAGGUCAUCCAGUUGUGAGCUGUGGCUCAGUCAAGGUCAGUCCGACAUCCAAGAGCCAGCCCUUGGGCUACACUGGAACUGUAAGUCUGACACCCUCACUUACAAACACAGACGAAUCGAUUGCUCAGUGGCUACUAUGAGGAACAUCUAUAGAGUUUUAGCUAGCCAGUAUGAUCCUCUUGGCUACAUAGUGCCUUAUACUACCCGAGCCAAAGUUAUUGUACGCCACCUGUGGGAGAAGCAGAGGGAUUGGGAUGACCCACAACUCCCUGAGGAGCUGCUGCAGAAGUGGCAUGCAUGGGAAGCAGAGCUGGAACAGUUGCACAAGAUCACACUGCCUAGGUGCUACACUAGUCACAGAUUAGACCAGCCCAACUGUAUGAGAGAUAUCCAUGUAUUCUGUGAUGCCUCUGAACAGGCAUAUGGAUCAGUGGCUUAUCUCAGAACAGAGAGUCCAGAAGGAGAAGUCGAGGUUGCCUUCCUUGCAGCUCGAUCUCGUGUUGCUCCAAAGAAGCAGCAAUCUGUUCCUCGGUUAGAGUUGUGUGCCGCUCUAACAGGUGCUCAGCUCUGCAAAGUCGUCAGCUCUGAGUUAACUCUUCCCAUACGCAGCUGUACCUUGUGGUCUGACUCAGCCACAGUCCUAACCUGGUUGGGUUCAGACUCCUGCAGAUACAAGGUUUUUGUGGGCACUCGUGUGGCAGAAAUACAAGAUAUGACGGAAGCUUCCACGUGGAGAUAUGUGCCCUCAAGAGACAACCCAGCAGAUGAUAUUACUCGUGGCCUCACUAUCCAAGACAUCUGCAAAGGCAGUAGAUGGACCGAUGGACCUGAAUUCCUGAAACUAGCUCCAGGUUACUGGCCUGACCUAUCACCUCCACCCCAGAGUAAUCCUGAAGGUGAGCUGAAACGACAAGCUGUUUGUCUAACUGUGUCCAGCUCCAGUGUUCCAGAUCCACGCCAGCACCAAACUUGGGACAGCUACUUGGAGGCCAUCGUACAUCACCUUCACGGGGCGGCUGACCCCAACCACCCUAUCACUGCUGAUUCCUAUGCUGCUGCUGAGAUGGAAGCUCUACAACGAGCCCAAAGGGAAUCAUUCUUGGAGGAAAUCACCCUGCUAAUGGCCGGUAAACCUAUUGCCAAAUCUAGUUGUCUUCUUUUACUUGCACCUGAGUUUGAUGAAAAAACAGGGCUCAUCAGAGUAGGAGGCCGUCUACGCCGGAAUCCUGACCUGGCUGUAGAUGAAGUUCACCCUAUUGUUCUGGACCCCAGACACGCUCUGACCCAACUCAUCAUACAAGAUUAUGAUAGGAAGCUUCAACAUCCUGGGCCAGAAAGGGUGUUCGCUGAGAUCAGAAGGAGAUAUUGGGUGCUACGUGGACGUGAAGCAGUACGCCGCCAUCAGAGAUUCUGCGCUGAGUGCAAGAGGUGGAAAGGUCAACCUAACCCACCCCGGAUGGCGGAUCUCCCUCCAGCCAGACUGCGUCUAUUCAAGCCGGCAUUUUAUUCCACGGGGGUGGAUUGUUUUGGGCCAUACACCAUCAAGAUCCGACGCAGUCAUGAGAAAAGGUGGGGAAUAUUGUUUAAAUGUCUAACUACAAGAGCAGUGCACCUUGAUUUGAUCCCGAGUAUGGACACAGAUGCUUUCUUAAUGGCUCUGAGACGCUUUGUAGCCAGGCGUGGGAAACCCAAGGAGAUCCUCUGUGACCAGGGGACAAACUUCAGAGGAGGAGAACGUGAGCUGCAGGAAGCAUUUCAAGCUCUUCACCCUGACCUCAAAGAGCAGCUAGCUUGCCAGCAAAUCAAGUUCAUUUUCAAUCCCCCUGGUUCCCCACACUUUGGAGGUUGCUGGGAGCGUGAAAUUCGCUCGCUAAAGACUGCUCUUCAAGUCAUCAUUGGAGCCCAAAUCGUCACUGAAGAGGUGCUGCACACCGUUCUGAUCGAAAUCGAGGGGAUGCUUAAUUCAAAACCCCUAGGUUACAUCUCAUCCGAAGUAGCAGAUCCUGACCCAGUGACCCCUAACUAUCUCAUCAUGGGACGGCGGGAUGCUUCGCUGCCGCAAGUCAUCUAUGACAGCCCGGAGAUUCUUGGGAGGAGAAGAUGGAGGCACAGCCAGAUUUUAGCCGACCAUUUCUGGCAGAACUUUCUGAAGUACUACCUGCCAGGACUCCAAGCCCGCCAGAAGUGGCAGACUGAAUCAGCAAAUCUACAAGUAGGAGAUGUGGUUAUGAUCGUGGACAACCAGUUUCCGCGAGCCCUCUGGCCUGUGGGUAAAGUCUCUCAAGUUUUUCCUGGACCAGACACCCGGAUCAGAUCUGCUGAAGUGACUGUAAAGGGACGAACUUACAUUCGACCCGUGGCAAGGCUUGUCAGCCUACCUGCCCUGCCUAAUGAUGAUUAAUCACCUCCUUUUAUUCAGCCUUUUUCUUGAUAUUCGUAUUCACAGGUGAAUACAGGGGCGGCUGUGGAAAAGGCUGUGUAACAAACUGCCAUGCUGAGCCUUUAAGGGGCGGGGCUUAGAGCAGCUGCAGCAUGCAGACGAAGAAAGAGAAAAAAAAGAGUAGAGUGAAAGAGAGUAUAGUUUAUGUUCGCAUUUUGUUUAUUUUAACUUGCUGUUUGCCGUUUAUUGUUACUCCUUGAUGUGUGUGCGUGGAAAUACAAGAACCACACACAAUUACCUAAAUAAACCGCAAGUACGAGUUGAAUCACCUGGAGUACGACUCUGCGUUCUUUGGAGUUCUGACCGACUCACCACAGUGUUCUGCAUAGUCACACCAGCAAAAACAACCCCU